GGAGUUUGGACCGUGUCUCAGUUCCAAUGUGGGGGACCUUCCUCUCAGAACCCCUACUGAUCGUAGGCCAGGUGGGCCGUUACCCCGCCUGCAACCUAAUCAGACGCAUCCCCAUCCCUUAGCGAUAAAUCUUUGGUUCACUUCAGAUGUCCUCGACGAACAACAUAGGGUAUUAAUCCGACUUUCGCCGGGCUAUCCCCUACUAAGGGGAAGGUUGGAUACGCGUUACUCACCCGUGCGCCGGUCGCCAUCUGAAAUAGCAAGCUAUCUCAAUGCUGCCCCUCGACUUGCAUGUGUUAAGCCUGUAGCUAGCGUUCAUC
rnacentral:rRNA from 1 species